CGCUCGCCCGCGGCGAACCCCGCCCGGGUCUGGCCCGCCCGGACCUCCUCGCUCCUCGCCUGGAGGCCUCAGGCCCAUCCGGAGGGGACAGAAACGGCCUCACCUGCCAGAGGACCUGCUCUUUAACGGGGCUUCUCCCCUGCGCCAGCCUGCCAGCCCAGGAGGGUGGGGGUUACGACCCUCAUUCGUUCACUAAUUCUUCCGUUCAUUCAACCAACACACAUUUACGCAGCGCCCGCUGUGUGCCACGUGCCGCUGUGAGCAUGCCAGGUCCAACCGCGACAAAGAUCCGCGCCCUCGGGGGCUGACAUGUAGCGAGGGAGUCAGACCAUACCUACAGCACAUAAGCGAAUUAUGUCGUUGGAAGGGAAUACAUUUUAUGGAGAAAAUUAGAGCAGGGUAAGGGAAUGGGGGGGGCAGCGACACGUGCCGAGUGAUCGCCAUUGCCAGCUGUGUGUGAGAGGACAGAAGACUCCCGCCUUCAUGGAGUGAGGGAGACAGGACAUCCGCAGGCACAUACAUAAGGCAAUUCAGGUUCUGGGAAUUGGCCAAAUGAUUAGAGAGAAUCCGUUCUACAGAAUACUCAGAAGCAGGAGAAAAAGAAAAAAGAAAAAAAUACAUAGAAGACGCAAAGUUAUAUAAAGACUUAGGUAUAAAUCUA